rnacentral:rRNA from 1 species
CGGCGUGCCUAACACAUGCAAGUCAACCUGACUGAAGGAGCAAUCUGACAGUAGAGUGGCGCAAGGGUGCGUAACGCGUAAGUAACUUGCCCAAGGUAAGGAAUAACGUCGAGAAAUCGGCGCUAAUACCUCAUAAUGCAGCGGAUCCGCAUGGAUAUGUUGUUAAAGGUUUACCGCCUUGGGAUAGGCUUGCGUCUGAUUAGCUAGUUGGUGUGGUAACGGCACACCAAGGCUACGAUCAGUAACUGGUCUGAGAGGAUGAUCAGUCACACUGGAACUGAGACACGGUCCAGACUCCUACGGGAGGCAGCAGUGAGGAAUAUUGGGCAAUGCUCGAAAGAGUGACCCAGCAACGCCGCGUGGAGGAUGAAGGUAUUCUAUAUCGUAAACUCCUGUGAGAGCAGACGAAAGACAGAUUAUUAAUCUGGAUGACUGUAUGCUCAGAGGAAGCCCCGGCUAACUACGUG